rnacentral:lncRNA from 1 species
UGGACACCCCAAUUCAAUCUCUAUUUGGACACCCCAAUUCCUUCUAUAUGGGCACCUCAAUUCUUUCCCUAUAUGGACACCCCGAUUCUUCCCAUAUGGGUACCCCAAAUCCUUCCCUAUAGGGACACUCCUAUUCCCCUUAUACAGACACCCCAAUUCCUCCUAUAUGGGCACCUCAAUUCUGUCCCUAUAUGGGCACCCCAAUUCUGUCCCUAUAUGGACACCCCAAUUCCUUCCCUAUAUGGGCACCCCAAUCCCUUCCCUAUAGAAACACCCCAAUUCCUUCCCUAUAUGGAUAUUCCAAUCCCUUCCCUAUAGAAACACCCCAAUUCCUCCUAUAUGGGCACCCCAAUUCCUCCUAUAUGGACACCCCGAUUCUUCCUAUAUGGGCACCCCAAUUCUGUCCCUAUAUGAACACUCUAACCCCUUCCCCAUAGGGGCACCCCAAUCCCUUCCCUAUAGAAACACCCCAAUUCCUUCUAUAUGGACACCCCAAUCCCAUCCCUAUAUGGACACCCAAAUUCCAGUUCCACAUGCACCCCACUCCUCUUCUUGCACCCCAAACCCCUCUGGGGGUGUCUGCCCCCAUUGUGGGCGUUCCCCAAGUCCCCAGGGAUUUAUCAGAGGCCCAGGGCAUUGCACAGGACACCCACAGGGGCACAGUGGGCACCCAGGACAUUGCACAGCACACCCCAAUUCCUGCUCCACGUGCUCCCCACUCCUCUCUCUGCACCCCAAAUUUCUCUGGGGGUGUCUGCCCCCAUUGUGGGAGCAUCCCAAGUCCCCCAAACCCUUAUCAGAGGCCCAGGGCAUUGCACAGGACACCCACAGGGGCAUGGUGGGAACUCAGGGUGUUGCACAGGACACCCCAAUUCCUGCUCCACGUGCACCCCACUCCUCCCUCUGCACCCCAAAUUUCUCUGGGGGUGUCUGCCCCCAUUGUGGGAGUACCCCAAGUCCCCAGGGCAUUUAUCAGAGGCCCAGGGCAUUACACAGGACACCCACAGGGGCAUGGUGGGAACUCAGGACAUUGCACAGGACACCCCAAAUCCUGCUCCACAUGCACCCCACUCCUCCCUCUGCACCCCAAAUUUCUCUGGGGGUGUCUGCCCCCAUUGUGGGGGUUCCCCAAGUCCCCCAAAUAUCCAGGGUAUUUAUCAGAGGCCCAGGGCAUUGCACAGGACACCCACAGGGGCACAGUGGGCACUCAGGACAUUGCACAGCACACCCCAAUUCCUGCUCCACGUGCCCCCACUCCUCCCUCUGCACCCCAAAUUUCUCUGGGGGUGUCUGCCCCCAUUGUGGGCGUUCCCCAAACCCUUAUCAGAGGCCCAGGGCAUUGCACAGGACACCCACAGGGGCACAGUGGGCACCCAGGAUGUUGCACAGGACACCCCAAUUCCUGCUCCACAUGCCCUCACUCCUCCCUCUGCACCCCAAAUUUCUCUGGGGGUGUCUGCCCCCAUUGUGGGAGUACCACAAGUCCCCAGGGCAUUUAUCAGAGGCCCAGGGCAUUGCACAGGACACCCACAGGGGCAUGGUGGCCACCAAGGAUGUUGCACAGGACACCCCAAUUCCUGCUCCAUGUGCACCCCACUCCUCCCUCUGCCCACCCCAAGCCCCCCAUACCCUCAUGAGGGGAACGGUGGGCACUCAGGACAUUGCACAGCACACCCCAAUUCCUGCUCCACAUGCACCCCACUCCUCCCUCUGCACCCCAAAUUUCUCUGGGGGUGUCUGCCCCCAUUAUGGGGGUUCCCCAAGUCCCCCAAACCCUUGUCAGAGGCCCAGGACAUCACACAGGGGCAUGGUGGGCACGCAGGGCAUUGUACAGGACACCCUAAAUCCACUUUCACGUGCACUCCACUCCUCCCUCUGCACCCCAAAUUUCUCUGGGGGUGUCUGCCCACAUUGUGGGAGUACCCCAAGUCCCCAGGGCAUUUAUCAGAGGCCCAGGGCAUUGCACAGGACACCCACAGGGGCACAGUGG